rnacentral:tRNA from 1 species
GGGGGUAUAGUUCAGUAGUAGAGCUCUUGCCUAACAUGUAUUAAGGCCCUGGGGUUGAUUCCCAGUACUGCCA